rnacentral:rRNA from 4 species
GGGUUGUGAGGUUAAGCGACUAAGCGUACACGGUGGAUGCCCUGGCAGUCAGAGGCGAUGAAGGACGUGCUAAUCUGCGAUAAGCGCCGGUAAGGUGAUAUGAACCGUUAUAACCGGCGAUUUCCGAAUGGGGAAACCCAGUGUGAUUCGUCACACUAUCAUUAACUGAAUCCAUAGGUUAAUGAGGCGAACCGGGGGAACUGAAACAUCUAAGUACCCCGAGGAAAAGAAAUCAACCGAGAUUCCCCCAGUAGCGGCGAGCGAACGGGGAGGAGCCCAGAGCCUGAAUCAGCAUGUGUGUUAGUGGAAGCGUCUGGAAAGGCGCGCGAUACAGGGUGACAGCCCCGUACACAAAAGCGCAUGUGCUGUGAGCUCGAUGAGUAGGGCGGGACACGUGGUAUCCUGUCUGAAUAUGGGGGGACCAUCCUCCAAGGCUAAAUACUCCUGACUGACCGAUAGUGAACCAGUACCGUGAGGGAAAGGCGAAAAGAACCCCGGCGAGGGGAGUGAAAAAGAACCUGAAACCGUGUACGUACAAGCAGUGGGAGCACAGGUUUACCUGUGUGACUGCGUACCUUUUGUAUAAUGGGUCAGCGACUUAUAUUCUGUAGCAAGGUUAACCGUAUAGGGGAGCCGUAGGGAAACCGAGUCUUAACCGGGCGUUAAGUUGCAGGGUAUAGACCCGAAACCCGGUGAUCUAGCCAUGGGCAGGUUGAAGGUUGGGUAACACUAACUGGAGGACCGAACCGACUAAUGUUGAAAAAUUAGCGGAUGACCUGUGGCUGGGGGUGAAAGGCCAAUCAAACCGGGAGAUAGCUGGUUCUCCCCGAAAGCUAUUUAGGUAGCGCCUCGUGAAUUCAUCUCCGGGGGUAGAGCACUGUUUCGGCUAGGGGGCCAUCCCGGCUUACCAACCCGAUGCAAACUGCGAAUACCGGAGAAUGUUAUCACGGGAGACACACGGCGGGUGCUAACGUCCGUCGUGAAGAGGGAAACAACCCAGACCGCCAGCUAAGGUCCCAAAGUCAUGGUUAAGUGGGAAACGAUGUGGGAAGGCCCAGACAGCCAGGAUGUUGGCUUAGAAGCAGCCAUCAUUUAAAGAAAGCGUAAUAGCUCACUGGUCGAGUCGGCCUGCGCGGAAGAUGUAACGGGGCUAAACCAUGCACCGAAGCUGCGGCAGCGACACUGUGUGUUGUUGGGUAGGGGAGCGUUCUGUAAGCCUGUGAAGGUGGCCUGUGAGGGUUGCUGGAGGUAUCAGAAGUGCGAAUGCUGACAUAAGUAACGAUAAAGCGGGUGAAAAGCCCGCUCGCCGGAAGACCAAGGGUUCCUGUCCAACGUUAAUCGGGGCAGGGUGAGUCGACCCCUAAGGCGAGGCCGAAAGGCGUAGUCGAUGGGAAACGGGUUAAUAUUCCCGUACUUGGUGUUACUGCGAAGGGGGGACGGAGAAGGCUAUGUUGGCCGGGCGACGGUUGUCCCGGUUUAAGCGUGUAGGUGUGUGUUCCAGGUAAAUCCGGUUCACUUUAACACUGAGGCGUGACGACGAGGCACUACGGUGCUGAAGCAACAAAUGCCCUGCUUCCAGGAAAAGCCUCUAAGCAUCAGGUAACAUCAAAUCGUACCCCAAACCGACACAGGUGGUCAGGUAGAGAAUACCAAGGCGCUUGAGAGAACUCGGGUGAAGGAACUAGGCAAAAUGGUGCCGUAACUUCGGGAGAAGGCACGCUGACACGUAGGUGAAGUGAUUUACUCAUGGAGCUGAAGUCAGUCGAAGAUACCAGCUGGCUGCAACUGUUUAUUAAAAACACAGCACUGUGCAAACACGAAAGUGGACGUAUACGGUGUGACGCCUGCCCGGUGCCGGAAGGUUAAUUGAUGGGGUCAGCGCAAGCGAAGCUCCUGAUCGAAGCCCCGGUAAACGGCGGCCGUAACUAUAACGGUCCUAAGGUAGCGAAAUUCCUUGUCGGGUAAGUUCCGACCUGCACGAAUGGCGUAAUGAUGGCCAGGCUGUCUCCACCCGAGACUCAGUGAAAUUGAACUCGCUGUGAAGAUGCAGUGUACCCGCGGCAAGACGGAAAGACCCCGUGAACCUUUACUAUAGCUUGACACUGAACAUUGAGCCUUGAUGUGUAGGAUAGGUGGGAGGCUUUGAAGUGUGGACGCCAGUCUGCAUGGAGCCGACCUUGAAAUACCACCCUUUAAUGUUUGAUGUUCUAACGUGGACCCGUAAUCCGGGUUGCGGACAGUGUCUGGUGGGUAGUUUGACUGGGGCGGUCUCCUCCUAAAGAGUAACGGAGGAGCACGAAGGUUGGCUAAUCCUGGUCGGACAUCAGGAGGUUAGUGCAAUGGCAUAAGCCAGCUUGACUGCGAGCGUGACGGCGCGAGCAGGUGCGAAAGCAGGUCAUAGUGAUCCGGUGGUUCUGAAUGGAAGGGCCAUCGCUCAACGGAUAAAAGGUACUCCGGGGAUAACAGGCUGAUACCGCCCAAGAGUUCAUAUCGACGGCGGUGUUUGGCACCUCGAUGUCGGCUCAUCACAUCCUGGGGCUGAAGUAGGUCCCAAGGGUAUGGCUGUUCGCCAUUUAAAGUGGUACGCGAGCUGGGUUUAGAACGUCGUGAGACAGUUCGGUCCCUAUCUGCCGUGGGCGCUGGAGAACUGAGGGGGGCUGCUCCUAGUACGAGAGGACCGGAGUGGACGCAUCACUGGUGUUCGGGUUGUCAUGCCAAUGGCACUGCCCGGUAGCUAAAUGCGGAAGAGAUAAGUGCUGAAAGCAUCUAAGCACGAAACUUGCCCCGAGAUGAGUUCUCCCUGAGACUUAGAGUCUCCUGAAGGAACGUUGAAGACGACGACGUUGAUAGGCCGGGUGUGUAAGCGCAGCGAUGCGUUGAGCUAACCGGUACUAAUGAACCGUGAGGCUUAACCUUACAACGCCGAAG